rnacentral:rRNA from 1 species
UUUCGGCAAGGGGGUCAUCCCGACUUACCAACCCGAUGCAAACUGCGAAUACCGGAGAAUGUUAUCACGGGAGACACACGGCGGGUGCUAACGUCCGUCGUGAAGAGGGAAACAACCCAGACCGCCAGCUAAGGUCCCAAAGUCAUGGUUAAGUGGGAAACGAUGUGGGAAGGCCCAGACAGCCAGGAUGUUGGCUUAGAAGCAGCCAUCAUUUAAAGAAAGCGUAAUAGCUCACUGGUCGAGUCGGCCUGCGCGGAAGAUGUAACGGGGCUAAACCAUGCACCGAAGCUGCGGCAGCGACACUAUGUGUUGUUGGGUAGGGGAGCGUUCUGUAAGCCUGUGAAGGUGGCCUGUGAGGGUUGCUGGAGGUAUCAGAAGUGCGAAUGCUGACAUAAGUAACGAUAAAGCGGGUGAAAAGCCCGCUCGCCGGAAGACCAAGGGUUCCUGUCCAACGUUAAUCGGGGCAGGGUGAGUCGACCCCUAAGGCGAGGCCGAAAGGCGUAGUCGAUGGGAAACAGGUUAAUAUUCCUGUACUUGGUGUUACU